CGGCUACAUCACGAUGAAACACCGAUUCCCGUUCGAUCAUCGAAGUUAAGUAACAUUGCGCCUGAUCAGUGCCAAAAUGGGUGAUCACUUAGAAAUACCAGAUGCUAU